rnacentral:rRNA from 1 species
AGCGAACGCUGGCGGCAGGCCUAACACAUGCAAGUCGAACGAACCUUUCGGGGUUAGUGGCGGACGGGUGAGUAACACGUGGGAACGUGCCUUUAGGUUCGGAAUAACUCAGGGAAACUUGUGCUAAUACCGAAUGUGCCCUUCGGGGGGAAAGAUUUAUCGCCUUUAGAGCGGCCCGCGUCUGAUUAGCUAGUUGGUUGAGGUAAUGGCUCACCAAGGCGACGAUCAGUAGCUGGUCUGAGAGGAUGAUCAGCCACAUUGGGACUGAGACACGGCCCAAACUCCUACGGGAGGCAGCAGUGGGGAAUCUUGCGCAAUGGGCGAAAGCCUGACGCAGCCAUGCCGCGUGAAUGAUGAAGGUCUUAGGAUUGUAAAAUUCUUUCACCGGGGACGAUAAUGACGGUACCCGGAGAAGAAGCCCCGGCUAACUUCGUG